UUCGAUUAUGGCCUAGAUUGGAACGCUGGCGGGAUGCUUUACACAUGCAAGUCGAACGGCACGGACUUCGGUCUGGUGGCGAGUGGCGAAUCGGUAGUGGCUGUAUCGAACGUGUCACAGAAGUGGGGAUAACUACGCAAAAGCGUAGUUAAUACCGCAUAAUAGCCCUUCGGGGAAGCGGGGACCUUCGGGCCUCGCAUCUAUUAGAGCGCCGAUAUCGGAUUAGCUAGUUGGUGGGGUAACGGCUCACCACAAGACAUGAUCCGUAGCUGGAAUGAGAGGACGACCAGCCACACUGGGACUGAGAUACGGCCCAGACUCCUACGGAGGCAGUGGGGAAUUUUGGACAAUGGGGGAAACCUGAUCCAGCCAUCCUGCGUGUGCGAUGAAGGCCUUCUGGUUGUGGGUAAAGACUUUUGGCAGGAAAGAAACGGCACGGGAUAAUCCCGUGCAACUGACGGUACCUGCAGAAUAAGCACCGAGCACCAUUACGUGCCAGCAGCCGCGGUAAUACGUAGGUGCAAGCGUUAAUCGGAAUUACCGGGCGUAAAGCGUGCGCAGGCGGUUCGGAAAGAUGAAAUCCCAGAGCUUAACUUUGGAAUCCCAUUUUGAAUCAUCAGAGCCAGAGUGUGUCAGAGUGGGAGGUGGAAUUCAAGUGUAGCAGUGAAAUGCGUAGAUAUGCGGAGGAACACCGAUGGCGAAGGCAGCCUCUGGGAUAACACUGACGCUCAUGCACGAAAGCGUGGGGAGCAAACAGGAUUAGAUACCUCUGGUAGUCCACGCCCUAAACGAUGUCAACUAGCUGUUGGGGCCUUCGCCUUGUGCGCAGCUAACGCGGUGAAGUUGACCGCCUGGGGAGUACGGUCGCAAGAUUAAACUCAGAAUUGACGGGGACCCACAAGCAGGGAUGAUGUGGAUUAAUUCGAUGCAACGCGAAAACCUUACCUACCCUUGACAUGUCUGGAAUCCCGAAGAGAUUUGGGAGUGCUCGCAAGAGAACCGGAACAGGUGCUGUAUGGCUAUUGUCGUCAUCAGUCGUGAGAUGUUGGGUUAAGUCCCGCAACGAGCGCAACCCUUGUCAUUAGUUGCUACGAAAGGGCACUCUAAUGAGACUGCCGGUGACAAACCGGAGGAAGGUGGGAUGACGUCAAGUCCUCAUGGCCCUUGGCGGGCAGGGCUUUACACGUCAUACAAUGGUCGGGAUAGGUCGCCAACCUGCGAGGGGGAGCCAAUCCCAGAAACCCGAUCGUAGUCCGGAUCGUUCCAAAUCGACUGCGUGAAGUCGGAAUCGCUAGUAAUCGCGGAUCAGCAUGUCGCGGUGAAUACGUUCCCGGGUCUUGUACACACCCUCGCCCGUCACACCAUGGGAGUGGGUUUUACCAGAAGUAGUUAGUCAACCGUAAGGAGGGCGAUUACCACGGUAGGAUUCAUGACUGGGGUGAAGUCGUAACAUGGUAGC
rnacentral:rRNA from 1 species